GAUGAACGCUGGCGGCGUGCCUAAUACAUGCAAGUCGAGCGAACAGACGAGGAGCUUGCUCCUCUGACGUUAGCGGCGGACGGGUGAGUAACACGUGGAUAACCUACCUAUAAGACUGGGAUAACUUCGGGAAACCGGAGCUAAUACCGGAUAACAUUUUGAACCGCAUGGUUCAAUAGUGAAAGACGGUUUUGCUGUACCUUAUAGAUGGACCCGCGCCGCAUUAGCUAGUUGGUAAGGUAACGGCUUACCAAGGCAACGAUGCGUAGCCGACCUGAGAGGGUGAUCGGCCACACUGGGGCUGGGACACGGUCCAGACUGCUACGGGAGGCAGAAGUAGGGAAUCUUCCGCGAUGGGCGAAAGCCUGACGGAGCAACGCCGCGUGAGUGAUGAAGGUCUUCGGAUCGUAAAACUCUGUUAUUAGGGAAGAACAAAUGUGUAAGUAACUAUGCACGUCUUGAGGAUACCUUAUCAGAAAGGCGCGGCUAACUCCGUG
rnacentral:rRNA from 1 species